rnacentral:rRNA from 1 species
UACAGAGGGUGCUAGCGUUGCUCGGAAUUACUGGGCGUAAAGCGCACGUAGGCGGCUUCUAAGUCGGGGGUGAAAUCCUGGAGCUCAACUCCAGAACUGCCUUCGAUACUGGAGAGCUCGAGUCCGGGAGAGGUGAGUGGAACUGCGAGUGUAGAGGUGAAAUUCGUAGAUAUUCGCAAGAACACCAGUGGCGAAGGCGGCUCACUGGCCCGGUACUGACGCUGAGGUGCGAAAGCGUGGGGAGCAAACAGG